AUUGAACGCUGGCGGCAGGCCUAACACAUGCAAGUCGAGCGAGCGGCGGACGGGUGAGUAAUGUCUGGGGCCUGCCCGCUAGAGGGGGAUAACUACUGGAAACGUUGGCUAAUCCCGCAUACUAUCGGAUAACCCAUAUGGGAUUAGCUAGUAGGUGGGGUAAAGGCUCACCUAGGCGACGUUCUCUAGCUGGUCUGACAGGAUGAUCAGCCACACUUGGACUGAGACACGGCCCAGACUCCUACGUAGGAAGCAGGGGGGAAUAUUGCACAAUGUGCGAAAGCCUGAUGCAGCCAUGCCGCGUGUAUGAAGAAGGCCUUAGGGUUGUAAAGUACUUUCAGCGGGGAGGCGUUACCCGCAGAAGAAGCACCGGCUAACUCCGUGCCAGCCGCCGCGGUAAUUC
rnacentral:rRNA from 1 species